rnacentral:rRNA from 1 species
GAGUUUGAUCAUGGCUCAGGACGAACGCUGGCGGCGUGCCUAAUACAUGCAAGUCGAGCGGAACCUUUGGAGCUUGCUCCAUUGGUUUAGCGGCGGACGGGUGAGUAACACGUGGGCAACCUGCCCUGCAGAUCGGGAUAACUCCGGGAAACCGGUGCUAAUACCGAAUAGUUUGCGGCCUCUCCUGAGGCUGCACGGAAAGACGGUUUCGGCUGUCACUGCAGGAUGGGCCCGCGGCGCAUUAGCUAGUUGGUGGGGUAAUGGCCCACCAAGGCCACGAUGCGUAGCCGACCUGAGAGGGUGAUCGGCCACACUGGGACUGAGACACGGCCCAGACUCCUACGGGAGGCAGCAGUAGGGAAUCUUCCGCAAUGGACGCAAGUCUGACGGAGCAACGCCGCGUGAGUGACGAAGGUUUUCGGAUCGUAAAACUCUGUUGUGAGGGAAGAACACGUACCAAUUAACUACUGGUACCUUGACGGUACCUCACCAGAAAGCCACGGCUAACUACGUGCCAGCAGCCGCGGUAA